rnacentral:rRNA from 1 species
UGGUGGAGUGAUUUGUCUGGUUAAUUCCGUUAACGAACGAGACCUCGACCUGCUAAAUAGUGGAAGCUACUCUUUGGGUAACUUUUAACUUCUUAGAGGGACUAUCGGUUUCUAGCCGAUGGAAGUUCGAGGCAAUAACA